rnacentral:rRNA from 1 species
CCCUGUCGUGCUUGACGUUCUAACCUGGGCCCAUUAUCUGGGUCGGGGACCGUGUAUGGUGGGUAGUUUGACUGGGGCGGUCUCCUCCUAAAGAGUAACGGAGGAGCUCGAAGGUACGCUCAGCGCGGUCGGACAUCGCGCACUGUGUGCAAAGGCAUAAGCGUGCUUGACUGCAAGAUCGACGGAUCAAGCAGGUAGGAAACUAGGACUUAGUGAUCCGGUGGUUCUGUAUGGAAGGGCCAUCGCUCAACGGAUAAAAGGUACUCCGGGGAUAACAGGCUGAUACCGCCCAAGAGUUCAUAUCGACGGCGGUGUUUGGCACCUCGAUGUCGGCUCAUCACAUCCUGGGGCUGUAGUCGGUCCCAAGGGUAUGGCUGUUCGCCAUUUAAAGUGGUACGCGAGCUGGGUUCAGAACGUCGUGAGACAGUUCGGUCCCUAUCUGCCAUGGGCGUUGGAGAUUUGAGAGGGGCUGCUCCUAGUACGAGAGGACCGGAGUGGACGAACCUCUGGUGUUCCGGUUGUCACGCCAGUGGCAUUGCCGGGUAGCUAUGUUCGGAAGCGAUAACCGCUGAAAGCAUCUAAGCGGGAAGCGCGCCUCAAGAUGAGAUCUCCCGGGGCACAAGCCCCCUGAAGGAACCAUGUAGACUACGUGGUUGAUAGGUCAGGUGUGUAAGUACAGCAAUGUAUUGAGCUAACUGAUACUAAUGAUCCGAGAGGCUUGACCAU